UUUCCGUAGGUGAACCUGCGGAAGGAUCAUUAUUGUAUAACCGAGGUGCGAGGGCUGUCGCUGACCCGAAAGGUCGUGCACGCCCGAGUGCCCUCACACACAUCCAUCUCACCCCUAUGUGCACCACCGCGUGGGUCCCCCUUUGGCUUGUUCGGAGGGGGGCUUACGUUUUUCACACAAACUUUGUAUGCAGUGUAGAAUGUAUUUUUUGUUUUUGCGAUCACGCAAUCAAUACAACUUUCAACAACGGAUCUCUUGGUUCU
rnacentral:misc_RNA from 1 species